GUGGGGAAUAUUGGGCAAUGGGCGAAAGCCUGACCCAGCAACGCCGCGUGAAGGAAGAAGGUUUUCGGAUCGUAAACUUCUAUCCUUGGUGAAGAUAAUGACGGUAGCCAAGAAGGAAGCCCCGGCUAACUACGUGCCAGCAGCCGCGGUAAUACGUAGGGGGCAAGCGUUGUCCGGAAUGCUUGGGCGUAAAGGGCGCGUAGGCGGCCUGUUAAGUCUGGAGUGAAAGUCCUGCUUUUAAGGUGGGAAUAGCUUUGGAUACGGUCGGGCUUGAGUGCAGGAGAGGUAAGUGGAAUUCCCGGUGUAGCGGUGAAAUGCGUAGAGAUCGGGAGGAACACCAGUGGCGAAGGCGACUUACUGGACUGUAACUGACGCUGAGGCGCGAAAGUGUGGGGAGCAAACAGGAUUAGAAACCCGGGUAGUCC
rnacentral:rRNA from 1 species